ACAAACAAAAACUUCAAGUAGGCCUGAAGUACUAAAGUCUUACUAUAUAUGGCGAUGCUUAAACUUGGUUUGGUUCUCACUAUUCUUCUCGUGGCAACUACAUUCAAUAUGGUGUGGUUCUCAAACACACAUGUGGAUGCUGCACGAAAUGCUGAUAUGGAUAUCUCAGGACUCGAGAGAAGACUACUGCCACAACUUAACUCCUGGGUUACCUGUAACAACAAAUGCAUCGUAAAUAGUGAUUGUCAUGGUUGCUGGUUUUGCUGCACAUGUACAACUUGGAAGUUAUGUGGGUAUAUUGCUUGAAAGUAGUAAAUUACUGAUCAAUUGCAACGAACUCUGCCAAAUCCUUGCUAUGUAUCUGCGUUUUCCGUGUGGUUCGAUCACUGUUUUUAUUAUGUUUUGUUUCAUGCUUUGUAUAAAUAAUGAAGGAAGUCAAGUGAAUGGCUUUCUCUGUUGCAAGGAAUAAUUACAAUGUAUUCAACUUGUUUGGAUGGUUAUUAUGUAUCAUUUUAUAAUGUAUCAUAUAGUAUUGUAAGAUUAUAUUGUUUACCGUUA